AAAGGGGAAGAAAACAAGAUGGGAAAUUCAGGAUCGACACCAUCACCACUGAACCCAGAACUGGAUGAACUAUGGAGAAUAUUUGACUGGGAAGAGAAAGACUACCUGAAAAGAAAGCUGGAAGACUUCUCUCCGAGUCAUCCAGAUGUGAAGGACAUCAGGAUCCUGGUG